AGUGUGGUCGACAUGUGAUGAUA
rnacentral:siRNA from 1 species